rnacentral:rRNA from 1 species
UACGGAGGGGCGAGCGUUGUUCGGAUUCAUUGGGCGUAAAGGGUGCGCAGGCGGCCAAGUGUGUUAGGCGUGAAAGCCCGGGGCUUAACCUCGGAAUUGCACCUAAAACUACAUGGCUAGAGCAUUGGAGAGGGUAGCGGAAUUCACGGUGUAGCAGUGAAAUGCGUAGAUAUCGUGAGGAACACCAGAGGCGAAGGCGGCUACCUGGACAAUUGCUGACGCUCAGGCACGAAAGCGUGGGGAGCAAAAGGG